rnacentral:misc_RNA from 1 species
AUUGGUUUGGGCUUCAAGAGCUGCUUCUUAUCUCAGGAUCUCAAUUCCCCAUAGAGGGUUUGCUUCUGUUGUGAAGGACUUGAAAUAUGCUACCUCUCAUGAAUGGGUGAAAGUAGAAGGGAAUAAAGCAACUGUUGGCAUAACUGAUCAUGCUCAAGAUCAUUUAGGUGAUGUUGUCUAUGUUGAAUUACCAGAAGUUGGAACCUCUGUUAAACAGGAUGGCAGCUUUGGUGCGGUAGAAAGCGUUAAAGCUACCAGUGAUAUAAACUCUCCUGUGUCAGGGAAAAUCAUUGAGGUCAAUGAAGAGCUCAGCAGUUCCCCUGGUCUGGUGAACUUAAGU